GCACGUAGUUAGCCGUGGCUUAUUCCUCAGGUACCGUCUUGGAUCUUCCCUGAGAAAAGAGGUUUACGACCCGAAGGCCUUCGUCCCUCACGCGGAGUUGCUGCCUCAGACUUUCGUCCAUUGGGCAAAAUUCCCGACUGCUGCCUCCCGUAGGAGUCUGGGCCGUUCUCAGUCCCAGUCUGGCUGAUCAUCCUCUCAGACCAGCUACCCGUCAUAGCCUUGGUGAGCCAUUACCCCACCAACUAGCUAAUCGGACGCAGGCCCCGCCGGAAGCGCCUUACGGCUUUGGGCGGCGAAUCGAAUCGCCGACCACAUGCGGUAUUAGCCACCCUUUCGGGCAGUUAUUCCCCACUUCCGGGUAGGUCACCUACGCGUUACUCAGCCGUCCGCCACUAGGUUGAUCGAGCAAGCCCGCUCAACCCCGUUCGACUUGCAUGUCUCAUGCACCCCGCCAGCGUUUGUC
rnacentral:rRNA from 1 species